CCCUUAGAUGUUCUGGGCUGCACGCGUGUUACAAUCGGGAGUACAACAAGAUUGCAAAUCCUAGUGGAUGAGUGGUUCUUCGAAAUUUUCUGAAGACUGGGAUAGUUGAUUGAAAUUAUUCAACUCAAACGAGGAAUUCCUUGUAAUUGUAAUUCAUUAUAUUGUAAUGAAUACGUCCCUGCCCUUUGUACACACCGCCCGUCGCUCCUACCGAUUGAACGAUCCGGUGAAUUAUUUGGAGUAGCUCUGGAAGUUGCAGAACUUCCUAUGUCACGAAAUUUUGUAAACCUUAUCGUUUAGAGGAAGGAAAAGUCGUAACA
rnacentral:rRNA from 1 species